GCCCGUGUAGCUCAGUCGGUAGAGCGCACCCUUGGUAAGGGUGAGGUCACCAGUUCAAUUCUGGUCAUGGGCACCA
rnacentral:tRNA from 1 species